GAUGAACGCUGGCGGCGUGCUUAACACAUGCAAGUCGAACGAUGAAGCCCAGCUUGCUGGGUGGAUUAGUGGCGAACGGGUGAGUAACACGUGAGUAACCUGCCCUUAACUCUGGGAUAAGCCUGGGAAACUGGGUCUAAUACCGGAUAGGAGCGUCCACCGCAUGGUGGGUGUUGGAAAGAUUUAUCGGUUUUGGAUGGACUCGCGGCCUAUCAGCUUGUUGGUGAGGUAAUGGCUCACCAAGGCGACGACGGGUAGCCGGCCUGAGAGGGUGACCGGACACACUGGGACUGAGACACGGCCCAGACUCCUACGGGAGGCAGCAGUGGGGAAUAUUGCACAAUGGGCGCAAGCCUGAUGCAGCGACGCCGCGUGAGGGAUGACGGCCUUCGGGUUGUAAACCUCUUUCAGUAGGGAAGAAGCGAAAGUGACGGUACCUGCAGAAGAAGCACCGGCUAACUACGUG
rnacentral:rRNA from 1 species